UACGAAGGGAGCUAGCGUUGUUCGGAAUCACUGGGCGUAAAGCGCACGUAGGCGGUCUUUUAAGUCUCAUGGUGAAAGGCUGGGGCUCAACCCCAUGCAUGCCGGGGAUACUGGGAGACUGGAGACAGGCAGAGGCCAGCGGAAUUCCGGGUGUAGCGGUGGAAUGCGUAGAGAUCCGGAAGAACACCGGAGGCGAAGGCGGCUGGCUGGGCCUGAUCUGACGCUGAGGUGCGAAAGCGUGGGGAGCGAACAGG
rnacentral:rRNA from 1 species